rfam:Sclerotinia sclerotiorum 1980 scaffold_4 genomic scaffold, whole genome shotgun sequence.
UCCGGCAUGGUGUAGUGGCUAGCAUUUCCGCCUCUCAUUCUUUCUAUCCUUUCUGAUAUACAGAAGAGAAGUGAUACAGGUCGCGGGAGACCGGGGUUCAAUUCCCCGUACCGGAA